rnacentral:rRNA from 1 species
UACGAAGGGGGCUAGCGUUGCUCGGAAUUACUGGGCGUAAAGCGCACGUAGGCGGAUUGUUAAGUCGGGGGUGAAAUCCUGGAGCUCAACUCCGGAACUGCCUUCGAUACUGGCGAUCUCGAGUUCGGGAGAGGUGAGUGGAACUGCGAGUGUAGAGGUGAAAUUCGUAGAUAUUCGCAAGAACACCAGUGGCGAAGGCGGCUCACUGGCCCGAUACUGACGCUGAGGUGCGAAAGCGUGGGGAGCAAACAGG